rnacentral:tRNA from 1 species
GGCAGCGUAGCUCAGUGGUAGAGCAGGGGACUCAUAAGCCCUUGGCCGCAGGUCCGAAUCCCGCCGCUGCCACCA